AUGACAAGUGGGGCCCACAUCAAUCUUCUUCUUCCUCCUCCUCCUCCUCCUCCUCCUCUCUCUCUCUUUGGUAUUUCAACAAACAUCUUAUGUGCAUGGAGGAAAGCCGGUGAACUCCGGCCGACGACGGACGUGAGCGUGCUCAUCCAGCUGUCAUCCCUGACCCCAGGACCGAGCCACACCGCCCCCUCUACCACGCAGGCGUGCGCCAAAACCACGCACCGCCGCAGCGCCCGAGCUGCCCAAACUCCGGCGAGCCCUCAAGCUACUUCCCGUCGCAUGCUGGCUUUUUCACUGUUGCCCCUGCUUUGGUCCUCCUGCUGCUGUGCACCGGCGCGCGCGUGCUUUCCUCCGUCUAGCGCCUCCGCCUUCACGAACCCCUCCGUCCUCAUGGCCGAGCGCCUCGCCGCUGGCCAGCGCCGCGGACAUUCGCGACCGCGCGCGCCCGGAGCAGGUGCAAGCUUGCCAGCUACCGUCUGCAUGCAAUAUCGGGCCGGCGCCGCUGCAUGCUGUUGCCGUUACCGGGGCGCGAGGAGGAGGUCCUCAGCCAGCGGCAGCACGCUGCCGUCGCACGCCUAUAGCCCAGACACGGUAGUUGUGAUGGCGUCUUCAUCUCUGUCAGUGGUGUUGCUCCUGUGCCUGGCUGCGGUGGCGUCGGCGCAGAUGUCCCCGACGUUCUACGACGCGUCGUGCCCCGGGGCGCUGGCCACCAUCAAGAACGGUGUGGUGGCCGCCGUGAGCAGCGACCCCCGCAUGGCUGCGUCGCUGCUCCGGCUGCACUUCCAUGACUGCUUUGUCCAAGCAAGUCCUUCACACACUACUUG
rnacentral:rRNA from 1 species